CCCUUAGAUGCCCUGGGCCGCACGCGCGUUACACUGAUGCAUUCAACGAGCUUAUAACCUUGGCCGAGAGGCCUGGGCAAUCUUGUUAACGUGCAUCGUGAUAGGGAUAGAUUAUUGAAAUUAUUAAUCUUGAACGAGGAAUUCCUAGUAAACGCAGAUCAUCAAUCUGCAUUGAUUACGUCCCUGCCCUUUGUACACACCGCCCGGCGCACCUACCGAUUGGAUGGUCCGGUGAAGCCUCGGGAUUGUGGUUCUUGCCGCUUUAUUGUGGCGUGACCGCGAGAACUUGUCUAAACCUUAUCAUCUAGAGGAAGGUGAAGUCGUAACA
rnacentral:rRNA from 1 species